rnacentral:rRNA from 1 species
UACGAAGGGGGCUAGCGUUGCUCGGAUUGACUGGGCGUAAAGGGCGCGUAGGCGGUUUCGUACAGUCAGACGUGAAAUUCCUGGGCUCAACCUGGGGGCUGCGUUUGAUACGUGCGGACUUGAGUGCGGAAGAGGGGUCGUGGAAUUCCCAGUGUAGAGGUGAAAAUUCGUAGAUAUUGGGAAGAACACCGGGUGGCGAAGGCGGCGACCUGGUCCGAUACUGACGGCUGAGGCGCGAAAGCGUGGGGAGCAAACAGG